GAUAUGGCUCAGGAUGAACGCUAGCUACGGGCUUAACACAUGCAAGUCGAGGGGUAGCAGGGUCUAGCAAUAGAUCGCUGACGACCGGCGCACGGGUGAGUAACACGUAUCCAACCUUCCGUUUACUCGGGGAUAGCCUUUCGAAAGAAAGAUUAAUACCCGAUAGUAUGCUUUUCCCGCAUGGGAGAAUCAUUAAAGUUUUUCGGUAAUCGAUGGGGAUGCGUUCCAUUAGGCAGUUGGUGAGGUAACGGCUCACCAAACCUUCGAUGGAUAGGGGUUCUGAGAGGAAGGUCCCCCCACAUUGGAACUGAGACACGGUCCAAACUCCUACGGGAGGCAGCAGUGAGGAAUAUUGGUCAAUGGACGAGAGUCUGAACCAGCCAAGUAGCGUAGAAGGAUGACUGCCCUAUGGGUUGUAAACUUCUUUUAUAUGGGAAUAAAGGAGCCUACGUGUAGGUUUUUGUAUGUACCAUACGAAUAAGGAUCGGCUAACUCCGUGCCAGCAGCAGC
rnacentral:rRNA from 1 species